rnacentral:lncRNA from 10 species
CAAAGGUGAAUCUUUUGGUUGGUGAUUUUGAUGAUAGCCACAAAGCAAGCAGGGUAAUGCUGAUGCUUCAAGUCUUGGAACCACACUUCGAGAAUCACUGUUAUAAUGUACAGCAGAACUGCAUGAUCAGCUGUAUGGUAGCCUUGAAAACCAACAGGCCACAAUCACAGUGAAAACCUCAGGUUGGCAGCCACUGGAGGAUACAAAAUGAGUUUGGAUCUCCUUCAAUGCCCCAUUCCCAGAGAACUGUCAUUAUUUGACCUGCUGGUAGUUCCCUAAAGGACGUGCAAGGAUGUUUUUAUUUGACUGGACACUUGAAGCUUGCCCUGUAUGAACAGCCCCCAUCUUCCCAUGCUUGUCAAAAAUCAGAGGCAACUAACACUGCGGCUUCCUGAGAUAGAGUCUCACUCUGUCACCCAGGCUGGAGAGCAAUUGCACAAACACUUGGCUCACUGCAGCCUCAACUUCUUGUCCUCAAGUGAUCCUCCCACCUUAGCCUCCUAAGUAGCUGGGACCACAGAGUCCCACUCUGUCACCCAGGCUGGAGUGCAGUGGUGCAAUCUUGGCUCACUGCAACCUCCACCUCCCAGGUUCAAGCGAUUCUCGUGUCUCAGCCUCCCCAGUAGCUGGGACUACAGGUGCGCCAUGACGCCUGGCUAAUUUUUUUGUAUUUUCAGUAGAGACGGGGUUUCACCAUGUUGGCCAGUCUGCUUUCCUCCUAACCUCAAGUGAGCCGCCUGCCUCGAAGAUGCUUUAUUUAUAAGCGCUUUGGACACACUUUAAUAAAUGCUCUAUUGUAUACAGUUGAACUCUAUAUAACAUUUUGAAUAAUAUUGUUAAUGCUUACCCUAAGUACUACUAUCAUCUCUGUAUUGUUUAACAAAAUAUUUCCACAUUUGACAAUAAAGUCAGUAUUUGAAAG